rnacentral:rRNA from 1 species
GACGAACGCUGGCGGCGUGCUUAACACAUGCAAGUCGAACGAUGACGACCGAUCUUGCUCGGUCUUAGUAGUGGCGAACGGGUGAGUAUCACGUGAGCAACCUGCCCUUCACUCUGGGAUAACCCCUGGAAAUCGGGGCUAAUACCGGAUAUGAGCUCCUGUCGCAUGGCGGGUGUUGGUAAGUUUUUCGGUGGAGGAUGGGCUCGCGGCCUAUCAGUUUGUUGGUGAGGUAGUGGCUCACCAAGGCGAUGACGGGGAGCCGGCCUGAGAGGGCGACCGGCCACAAUGGGACUGAGGAACGGCCCAGAGUCCUACGGGAGGCAGCAGUGGGGAAUAGUGCACAAUGGGCGAAAGCCUGAUGCAGCGACGCCGCGUGAGGGAUGACGGCCUUCGGGUUGUAAACCUCUUUCAGCAGGGAAGCAGAGAAAGUGACGGUACCUGCAGAAGAAGCGCCGGCUAACUACGUG